UCCUGGCCCCUGGGCGUGCCCCUGGCGAGCACAGACCCCUCCCCACCCAGGGGAGCAGGGAGCAGCACUUGCCCAGCUGGGAGAACGGAGCCUGGCAGUGUGUCCCUGAAGGCCGGAGAGGACCUGACCAGCUGGAACCCUUCCCUGCUGAGGAAGAGGGGCUGAGGGGGGACCACGCCAACGUGGAACUUUCUGGAAUGCCUCUGAGAGGGCUAUUGGUGCCCGAUGUCUGAAGGGCUCCCCAUGGGGCACCCUGGGCUGCGCUGGCAGCUGCCUAGAUGGCCCCCUCACACAGCCCAGCCAAGCAAGACCCCCACUGCCUUGCGGUCUCCAGAGCUGCUGUGAGCAGCACCUGUGGCUGUCUGACUAGUUCCUGUCCCCCAGGGCUGCUGUGAGCAGCCCCUGGCUGGCUGUGACUGGUCCCCAUCCUCCAGACCUGCUGUGAGCAGCCCCUGGCUGGCUGUGACUGGUCCCCGUCCCUGGGAAGGGUUUCAGGAAGAGCUGGGCUGGCCCCUGAUGGCCAGAUGAGACCCGUGACACAGUCACUCCAUGGUGGGCAUGUCCCCCAGGAGGACACAACCACCCCACCCCAUCCCCAACACAGACACCACCGGACCUCCACAACACUGUGCCACUCCCCAGUGUCUUGACCUGCUGGCCGAAUAGACAGACAGAGCCCACCAUCAAGACGGGCAUCCCAUGAGCGACCCAAGUCCCUCCCCUUGCCAAGCGUCCUCCGUGUCCCCCAUGCCGGAGCCAGGGCCCAGGGCCCUACACUGACCACUCAAGUGAGGAAGGGGAAGGCUGGGUGCCCGAGGACAGAAACCAGCAACAAGGACACUUGAGCAGCAAGAACCUGACCCUCAGGGAACAGAGACCAGAGAAGCCCGCGGGGCAGCCAGGGACCUCAGAGGGUCCCCGCCCAGGGACCUGGGAGUCCAUCAGCUCCGCCGAGGGGUCAGCCGUGCACCUGCAGCUCGGUGGACAUGAGGGAGCCCCAAACUCUUGGCCUCAGAGAGCAGUCACGCCUGGGGAAGCCAGCUGACCGGGCUCCCAGCCCAGGAGAGCCUCACCCCAGAGGGCGCUGGGCACAGCCAGGAAGCCAGUUCUGCUAUGCUCACGCUCGGGGCUCAGAGGGUGUCCGGGGGCUGAACUGACAAGGAGCAUGCGUGUGUGUGUGUGUGUGUGUGUGUGUGUGUGUGUG